GUGCAUUGUAGUUGCAUUGCAUGUACGAUACACUCUGCAGUGCUUCUGCAGUGCAAACA
rnacentral:pre_miRNA from 1 species